rnacentral:rRNA from 1 species
AGUGAACGCUGGCGGUAUGCCUAACACAUGCAAGUCGAACGGCAGCACAGUAAGAGCUUGCUCUUACGGGUGGCGAGUGGCGGACGGGUGAGGAAUACAUCGGAAUCUACUUUUUCGUGGGUGAUAACGUAGGGAAACUUACGCUAAUACCGCAUACUACCUACGGGUGAAAGUAGGGGAUCUUCGGACCUUGCGCGAUUGAAUUAGCCGAUGUCGGAUUAGCUAGUUGGCGAGGUAAAGUCCCACCAAGGCGACGAUCCGUAGCUGGUCUGAGAGGAUGAUCAGCCACACUGGAACUGAGACACGGUCCAGACUCCUACGGGAGGCAGCAGUGGGGAAUAUUGGACAAUGGGCGCAAGCCUGAUCCAGCCAUACCGCGUGGGUGAAGAAGGCCUUCGGGUUGUAAAGCCCUUUUGUUGGGAAAGAAAAGCAGCAGGUUAAUACCUCGCUGUUCUGACGGUACCCAAAGAAUAAGCACCGGCUAACUUCGUG